CUGGAAACCUUCAGAAUCUGCUGGCCCCCAACCCUCCCUGGGGACCCCUGUGGCCUGUCUCACCAGAGCACUCUUCUGUCUGUAGAUGUCUCAGCGGCUCUACAAGGGAGUCCCAUUUCAGGUGUGGGGCUGGGCAUGGUCACUCCUGCUGGAUGUCUAGAAGAUGGAAACUAAGGACCUAGGAAAAUGCCAGAUACAGCCUUUCCACCCUCAUCCAGAGCAGGACAAACAGGCCAGGUGGUGUCAGGAGCCCAGGUCUCCAGCUGGAGGGAACGUCAACCCUGCAGUGGGAGCAGGGGCCCAUCGCACAUCCUAGGCACAGAUGCUAAUGUAGGCACUGCAGAUCCUGGUCAGAGUAAAACAUUCCAUGGGAACUCGGGCUGUGAGAAACAUCCUAACCACCUGACUGCAGAAACAUCCUUAUCACAUCCUGCUGGGCAAGGGCCCAACAGCCUGACUUCAGGAACAUCCUUAUCAUCUUCUACUGAGCAGCAAGCUAUACUGUCCAGAGCCCUCCCUCCCA
rnacentral:lncRNA from 1 species